rnacentral:rRNA from 1 species
CCCUUAGAUGUUCUGGGCCGCACGCGUGCUACACUGAGUGGAUCAGCGGGUCAGGUUGCGCGAAAGCGUUUCCUAAUCUUUAAAUCCGCUCGUGAUGGGGAUUGACGGUUGCAAUUUUCUGUCAUGAACGAGGAAUACCUUGUAAGCGCGGGUCAUCAUCCCGCGCUGAAUACGUCCCUGCCCUUUGUACACACCGCCCGUCGCACCUACCGAUUGAAUGGUCCGGUGAAGCCUCCGGAUUGGCGCGCACCUCGGUGCCGCCGAGAAGUUGGCUAAACCUUACCAUUUAGAGGAAGGUGAAGUCGUAACA